UGGGGAAUUUUGGACAAUGGGGGAAACCCUGAUCCAGCCAUCCCGCGUGUGCGAUGAAGGCCUUCGGGUUGUAAAGCACUUUUGGCAGGAAAGAAACGUCAUGGGUUAAUACCCCGUGAAACUGACGGUACCUGCAGAAUAAGCACCGGCUAACUACGUGCCAGCAGCCACGGUAAUACGUAGGGUGCAAGCGUUAAUCGGAAUUACUGGGCGUAAAGCGUGCGCAGGCGGUUCGGAAAGAAAGAUGUGAAAUCCCAGAGCUCAACUUUGGAACUGCAUUUUUAACUACCGGGCUAGAGUGUGUCAGAGGGAGGUGGAAUUCCGCGUGUAGCAGUGAAAUGCGUAGAUAUGCGGAGGAACACCGAUGGCGAAGGCAGCCUCCUGGGAUAACACUGACGCUCAUGCACGAAAGCGUGGGGAGCAAACAGG
rnacentral:rRNA from 1 species